rnacentral:misc_RNA from 1 species
GAUGAAGAACGCAGCGAAAUGCGAUACGUAAUGUGAAUUGCAAAUUCAGUGAAUCAUCGAGUCUUUGAACGCACAUUGCGCCCCCUGGUAUUCCGGGGGGCAUGCCUGUCCGAGCGUCAUUGCUGCCCUCAAGCACGGCUUGUGUGUUGGGCCCCGUCCUCCGAUCCCGGGGGACGGGCCCGAAAGGCAGCGGCAGCACCGCGUCCGGUCCUCGAGCGUAUGGGGCUUUGUCACCCGCUCUGUAGGCCCGGCCGGCGCUUGCCGAUCAACCCAAAUUUUUAUCCAGGUUGACCUCGGAUCAGGUAGGGAUACCCGCUGAACUUAAGCAUAUCAAUAAGCGGAGGA